rnacentral:rRNA from 1 species
UUGGCUCAGGAUGAACGCUGGCGGCGUGCCUAACACAUGCAAGUCGAACGGACGCUUUGAGAAGAGUCUUCGGAUAAUUCUUAAAGUUGUUAGUGGCGGACGGGUGAGUAACGCGUGGGGAACCUGCCUUUGUCCGGGGGAUAGCAGCUGGAAACGGCUGGUAAUACCGCAUAAGACCACGAAGCCGCAUGGCUUUGCGGUAAAAGAUUUAUCGGACAGAGAUGGACCCGCGUCUGAUUAGCCAGUUGGCAGGGUAACGGCCUACCAAAGCAACGAUCAGUAGCCGGCCUGAGAGGGCGGACGGCCACAUUGGGACUGAGACACGGCCCAGACUCCUACGGGAGGCAGCAGUGGGGAAUA